CGCGUGCACUGGUUCGGCCGGGCCUUUCCUUCUGUGGAACCGCAUGGCCUUCACUGGGUGUGUUGGGGAAACAGGACUUUUACUUUGAAAAAAUUAGAGUGUUCAAAGCAGGCCUUUGCUCGAAUACAUUAGCAUGGAAUAAUAGAAUAGGACGGCCUUCCUAUUUUGUUGGUUUCUAGGAGCGCCGUAAUGAUUAAUAGGGAUAGUUGGGGGCAUCAGUAUUCAAUUGUCAGAGGUGAAAUUCUUGGAUUUAUUGAAGACUAUCUACUGCGAAAGCAUUUGCCAAAGAUGGUUUCAUUAAUCAGUGAACGAAAGUUAGGGGGAUCGAAGACGAUCAGAUACCGUCGUAGUCUUAACCAUAAAACUAUGCCGACUAGGGGAUCCGGGCGAUGUUACUAUCUUGACUCGCUCGGCACCUUUCGAGAAAUCAAAGUUUUUGGGGUUCUGGGGGGAGUAUGGUCGCAAGGCUGAAACUUAAAAGAAAUUGACGGGAAGGGCACCACCAGGAGUAAACACUUGGCCUGUUUCGCCGCAGCAACUCUGCUCCGAAAAGCAGCCCGAAAGGGUGAGGUGGGUUCAGCCCGGGCACCGCCCGAAUCUAAAUGCUAGUCCCUGUUUUUGGGGGCAACACGCUCAAACUGCGGGAAAAUCCUAAAGCUUCAGCCACCAAGCCGGCGGUCGAAAGACGCCGGUGGCCAGGUUAAUUGCCUCGGGUACGG
rnacentral:rRNA from 1 species